rnacentral:rRNA from 1 species
GACGAACGCUGGCGGCGUGCUUAACACAUGCAAGUCGAGCGGUAAGGCCCUUUCGGGGGUACACGAGCGGCGAACGGGUGAGUAACACGUGGGUGACCUGCCCUCAGCUCUGGGAUAAGCCUGGGAAACCGGGUCUAAUACCGGAUAUGACUCCAUGACGCAUGUUGUGGGGUGGAAAGCCUUGUGCGGCUGAGGAUGGGCCCGCGGCCUAUCAGCUUGUUGGUGGGGUGAUGGCCUACCAAGGCGACGACGGGUAGCCGGCCUGAGAGGGCGACCGGCCACACUGGGACUGAGACACGGCCCAGACUCCUACGGGAGGCAGUAGUGGGGAAUCUUGCGCAAUGGGCGAAAGCCUGACGCAGCGACGCCGCGUGAGGGAUGACGGCCU